GAUGAACGCUGGCGGCGUGCCUAAUACAUGCAAGUCGAGCGAACAGACGAGGAGCUUGCUCCUCUGACGUUAGCGGCGGACGGGUGAGUAACACGUGGAUAACCUACCUAUAAGACUGGGAUAACUUCGGGAAACCGGAGCUAAUACCGGAUAAUAUAUUGAACCGCAUGGUUCAAUAGUGAAAGACGGUUUUGCUGUCACUUAUAGAUGGAUCCGCGCCGCAUUAGCUAGUUGGUAAGGUAACGGCUUACCAAGGCGACGAUGCGUAGCCGACCUGAGAGGGUGAUCGGCAACACUGGAACUGAGACACGGUCAAGACUACUACGGGAGGCAGCAGUAGGGAAUAUUCCGCAAUGGGCGAAAGCCUGACGGAGCAACGCCGCGUGAGUGAUGAAGGGCUUCGGAUCGUAAAACUCUGUUAUUAGGGAAGAAAAAAUGUGUAAGUAACUAUGCACGUCUUGACGGUACCUAAUCAGAAAGCCACGGCUAACUACGUG
rnacentral:rRNA from 1 species